GGAUGUGAGGGCGAUUUGGCUGCGACAUCUGUCACCCCACUGAUCUCCAGGGUUGAUUCGGCUGAUCUGGCUGGCUACGCUGGUGUCUCCUUCCUUCCUCACCGCUCCAUGUGCAUCCCUCCCAAACCUGCACACUUGGUCAAGGAGGACAACCUUCCCCGACAGAGCAGUACCAUUCUUCUCGGUCAAGAGUAUACGAGUAGCUACGCUCCCCUGCUAGAACCUCCAAAAAGCUCUCAAGAAUAGGAGUACAACUGUCACACAACAGAUUAUGUAUGUGUUAAACAGUCAACUUCAUU
rnacentral:snRNA from 1 species